rnacentral:rRNA from 1 species
UGGGGAAUAUUGCACAAUGGGCGCAAGCCUGAUGCAGCAACGCCGCGUGCGGGAUGACGGCCUUCGGGUUGUAAACCGCUUUUAGUAAGGAAGAAGGGGAGCUUGCUCCUUGACGGUACUUGCAGAAAAAGGACCGGCUAACUACGUGCCAGCAGCCGCGGUAAUACGUAGGGUCCGAGCGUUGUCCGGAAUUAUUGGGCGUAAAGAGCUCGUAGGCGGUUUGUCGCGUCUGCUGUGAAAUCCCGAGGCUCAACCUCGGGCCUGCAGUGGGUACGGGCAGACUGGAGUGCGGUAGGGGAGAAUGGAAUUCCUGGUGUAGCGGUGGAAUGCGCAGAUAUCAGGAGGAACACCGAUGGCGAAGGCAGUUCUCUGGGCCGUAACUGACGCUGAGGAGCGAAAGCGUGGGGAGCGAACAGGAUUAGAUACCCUGGUAGUCCACGCCGUAAACGUUGGGCGCUAGAUGUGGGGACCUUUCCACGGUUUCCGUGUCGUAGCUAACGCAU